rnacentral:rRNA from 1 species
UGGGGAAUAUUGCACAAUGGGCGGAAGCCUGAUGCAGCAACGCCGCGUGCGGGAUGACGGCCUUCGGGUUGUAAACCGCUUUCGCCUGUGACGAAGCGUGAGUGACGGUAAUAGGUAAAGAAGCACCGGCUAACUACGUGCCAGCAGCCGCGGUGAUACGUAGGGUGCGAGCGUUGUCCGGAUUUAUUGGGCGUAAAGGGCUCGUAGGUGGUUGAUCGCGUCGGAAGUGUAAUCUUGGGGCUUAACCCUGAGCGUGCUUUCGAUACGGGUUGACUUGAGGAAGGUAGGGGAGAAUGGAAUUCCUGGUGGAGCGGUGGAAUGCGCAGAUAUCAGGAGGAACCCCAGUGGCGAAGGCGGUUCUUUGGGCCUUUCCUGACGCUGAGGAGCGAAAGCGUGGGGAGCGAACAGGCUUAGAUACCCUGGUAGUCCCCGCUGUAAACGGUGGGUACUAGGUGUGGGGUCCAUUCCACGGGUUCCGUGCCGUAGCUAACGCUUUAAGUACCCCGCCUGGGGAGUACGGCCGCAAGGCUA